AUGGCUAACGAUUGUGCAGUGACUUGGAAGUCAAUAUUGCACAAACAUAUAUACAGUCAUGACUCAUGAAUAUUGCCCCUGAAUGCAAGUUAAGCUUACAUUUUUGUUUGUGUUCAACGAGUAUAAAUUGACAGAAAAGAACUCACAUCUUUGAAAUAUCAAACAUGUUAAUGAUUCAUUUACUACAGUGUUGAACGACCGUAGUAUUUGGUCACAAAUAAUUUUGUCAUGUAAUUAACAGAUUAUUGGUUUGUAUAAUUUCCAGAUUAUAUUUCUCGGAGUAUCCCAGAUUCAGUUGUGUUGUAUCUAGUAUAUAUUUUCGAUUGUGAUAAUGGAAAAGGGAGCCUUUCAAUUGUUUUCAAAAAGCAUCAUAUAUCUAUAUAUAUUAAUAAAUGAGAUGAUUUGGGCUAUUUGUCUUUGAAUGGUGGAACCAUUUUGCUUAUGUGGCAUCCAUUGGUUGAGGAGAGUGUGAUUUUGAGAGAGAAUUCAUUCUCAAAGCUCAAUACACAAACAAACAAACAUUAGACGCGGGAUCCGUUUUGAUUUCGGGUUAUCUUAUACCCGUUCAUUCGGAUCUAUAUAAAAGGCACUACCCAGUAAUUCAGACCACUUUCUUUCCUAUUCCUUCUAAACCCUAGCCAACAACUUCAUCGUAUUCUUCGUUCUUCUUUGCCGAUCUGCCCUCUCAAUUCGAAAAUGAAGAUUAGCAUCAGUCUUGAUGUAAACUCAAUUCGAAGAUGCCUUCAUCAUAUUUCUGAUUGCUGUUGUUGUUUGUUGAUUUGAUUGAAGAAGAAUGAAGGUGUGUUUGUGUGACGGCUGAAUCUGAUGAAGGUGUGUUGUUGUUUGUUGAUUUGACAGUGGUCGGAGAUGAAGGGGAUUCAUCAAUCUUAAUCACAGCAAAUCUACAAAUGGGUUGGCACUUUUGGGAAAAGUAGCCACUUAUGCAUUGAAUCUAACUGGUUUCUUUUAUUGUCAAGCAAUCCCAAAUUCACUGUCCAAUGAGCCAUUAGACCUUUCGAGGGAUGAUGAUGGUGACAUGUACAGUUUCCAAACGAAAGAUAAAGAUGCUGACGUCAGUUUCAGGCCUCCUAAAUAUCAAACAGGGGUCUUAAAAACAAACUGCAUCGAUUGUUUGGAUCGUAAAAAUGUUGCUCAGUUUGCAUACGGUUGGGCUGCACUUGGUCGCCAAUUGCAUACUAUAGGUUAUAUAGAUACCCCUGAUAUCGAACUAGAUUCCGCUUUAGCAGAUGAUUUAAUGAGAAUUUAUGAAAAAAUGGGUGACACUCUAGCACUACAAUAUGGUGGUUCUGCAGCUCACAAUAAGAGGGUGAUUUUGGGAGGGAAUCAUUCUAAAUACACGGAGGUCCAUGAUUUAUGUGAGUUUUAUGUUGUAAAGACGAAGUUAGCGCAGAAUGCAUUCUGCUCAUGGGUGAGGGCGUACAGCACGCAUCGCGGGGAGUUGAAGAGUAUAUGCAUGGUGAAAAAGCUUCAUUUGGGACACGUGGCGAAAAGUUUUGCACUGAAGGAGCAGCCGUCACUGGUGGGGAGAUGGGUUUAGAAGAAGCACACAGAAAAGAGGAAAAGAACACAGGAAAGUAAAAGAAGGUUUGAAAAAGAAGAGAAAGAUGGCAAACCUGGAGGAGGGAGAUUGAGUUAGCAAAUGAACGGUGAAAGAUGAUUGAUGGUGAAGGUGCAAAUUGCAAGCAAGCAGCUGGCUGGAAGGAGAAUAGAAUGAAUGGUUUGACAACCACCAAAACAAAUGGGUUUUGGUCUCUUUAAAACGAGUCAACGUGAAUCACAAGUUGCUAUAUGGUGAUAUUAAUUCAGAUUCUCAGCCCCAACAUAAUCCCAACAGCAAGUGGUAUAUCAGCCUUGAGAAUGGCCUGAAGAAAAACACCCCCCAUGGGCUUACGGGGUGGGUUAUGCUGUGAACCAUGACAUUGCAAAGGCGAUUAACAAUAACACAAAAGGGUGACCUAUAGGCUUUAAGCUGGAUGAUGUGAUAAUGGGAAUCUGGACUGCGAAUUUACAAAAGAAUUGUUUAGAAGUAUGAUAUGAAAAAGAACAAGUGUAUAAUGAAACAGAUGGGUAUGUAGUUGCACACUAUCAAGGACCUCGAUAAAUGUUGUGUGCAUGGCAAAAGCUUCAAGUAGAUAACCAAGCUUUUUGUUGUGGGAACUAAUAGAUUCUUAAGAAUAACACGAAUGUUGUGUUGUAUCAUUUGUAACUAGAUAGGUACUUUUACUGAUUAUGCAGACUAUUACACUUGAAUUUGUUUUCAAAACUAAUACCAAGUGCACACAUGGGUUGCUGUUGGUUCAAUUAAUCACAUGUCUCCAUUCUUAAUAAACAGAUGAAGUAGUCGUGUUGUGCACCGAUUCGAAUCUAUUGAACUGGCGUGUAACCUUAUUAGUUUUAAAACUAAAAUCAAAGUAUAAAAAUAAAAAAGUUAUAAAAAUACAUAAU
rnacentral:lncRNA from 1 species